rnacentral:rRNA from 1 species
AGUGGCGAACGGGUGAGUAACACGUGAGUAACCUGCCCCUGACUCUGGGAUAAGCGUUGGAAACGACGUCUAAUACUGGAUAUGAUCACUGGCCGCAUGGUCUGGUGGUGGAAAGAUUUUUUGGUUGGGGAUGGACUCGCGGCCUAUCAGCUUGUUGGUGAGGUAAUGGCUCACCAAGGCGACGACGGGUAGCCGGCCUGAGAGGGUGACCGGCCACACUGGGACUGAGACACGGCCCAGACUCCUACGGGAGGCAGCAGUGGGGAAUAUUGCACAAUGGGCGAAAGCCUGAUGCAGCAACGCCGCGUGAGGGAUGACGGCCUUCGGGUUGUAAACCUCUUUUAGUAGGGAAGAAGCGAAAGUGACGGUACCUGCAGAAAAAGCACCGGCUAACUACGUGCCAGCAGCCGCGGUAAUACGUAGGGUGCAAGCGUUGUCCGGAAUUAUUGGGCGUAAAGAGCUCGUAGGCGGUUUGUCGCGUCUGCUGUGAAAUCCCGAGGCUCAACCUCGGGCUUGCAGUGGGUACGGGCAGACUAGAGUGCGGUAGGGGAGAUUGGAAUUCCUGGUGUAGCGGUGGAAUGCGCAGAUAUCAGGAGGAACACCGAUGGCGAAGGCAGAUCUCUGGGCCGUAACUGACGCUGAGGAGCGAAAGCAUGGGGAGCGAACAGGAUUAGAUACCCUGGUAGUCCAUGCCGUAAACGUUGGGCGCUAGAUGUAGGGACCUUUCCACGGUUUCUGUGUCGUAGCUAACGCAUUAAGCGCCCCGCCUGGGGAGUACGGCCGCAAGGCUAAAACUCAAAGGAAUUGACGGGGGCCCGCACAAGCGGCGGAACAUGCGGAUUAAUUCGAUGCAACGCGAAGAACCUUACCAAGGCUUGACAUACACCGGAAACGGCCAGAGAUGGUCGCCCCCUUGUGGUCGGUGUACAGGUGGUGCAUGGGUUGUCGUCAGCUCGUGUCGUGAGAUGUUGGGU